rnacentral:rRNA from 1 species
UACAGAGGGGGCAAGCGUUGUUCGGAAUCAUUGGGCGUAAAGCGCACGUAGGCGGACUGUUAAGUCGGAUGUGAAAUCCCUCAGCUUAACUGAGGAAGUGCAUUCGAAACUGGCAGUCUUGAGUAUGGAAGAGGGUCGCGGAAUUCCCGGUGUAGAGGUGAAAUUCGUAGAUAUCGGGAGGAACACCAGUGGCGAAGGCGGCGAUCUGGGAAGAUACUGACGCUGAGGUGCGAAAGCGUGGGGAGCAAACAGG